AGUGAACGCUGGCGGUAGGCCUAACACAUGCAAGUCGAACGGCAGCACAGUAAGAGCUUGCUCUUACGGGUGGCGAGUGGCGGACGAGUGAAGAAUACAUCGGAAUCUACUUUUUCGUGGGGGAUAACGUAGGGAAACUUACGCUAAUACCGCAUACGACCUACGGGUGAAAGCAGGGGAUCUUCGGACCUUGCGCGAUUGAAUGAGCCGAUGUCGGAUUAGCUAGUUGGCGGGGUAAAGGCCCACCAAGGCGACGAUCCGUAGCUGGUCUGAGAGGAUGAUCAGCCACACUGGAACUGAGACACGGUCCAGACUCCUACGGGAGGCAGCAGUGGGGAAUAUUGGACAAUGGGCGCAAGCCUGAUCCAGCCAUACCGCGUGGGUGAAGAAGGCCUUCGGGUUGUAAAGCCCUUUUGUUGGGAAAGAAAAGCAGCAGGUUAAUACCCCGCUGUUCUGACGGUACCCAAAGAAUAAGCACCGGCUAACUUCGUG
rnacentral:rRNA from 1 species